rnacentral:rRNA from 1 species
AUCCAGACUCCUACGGGAGGCAGCAGUGGGGGAUAUUGCACAAUGGGGGAAACCCUGAUGCAGCGACGCCGCGUGGGUGAAGAAGCGCCUCGGCGCGUAAAGCCCUGUCAGCAGGGAAGAAAAUGACGGUACCUGAAGAAGAAGCCCCGACUAACUACGUGCCAGCAGCCGCGGUAAUACGUAGGGGGCAAGCGUUAUCCGGAUUUACUGGGUGUAAAGGGGGCGCAGACGGCGAUGCAAGCCAGGAGUGAAAGCCCGGGGCCCAACCCCGGGACUGCUCUUGGAACUGCGUGGCUGGGGUGCAGGAGGGGCAGGCGGAAUUCCUGGUGUAGCGGUGAAAUGCGUAGAUAUCAGGAGGAACACCGGUGGCGAAGGCGGCCUGCUGGACUGCAACUGACGUUGAGGCCCGAAAGCGUGGGGAGCAAACAGGAUUAGAUACCCCAGUAA